rnacentral:rRNA from 1 species
UUGACGGGGACCCGCACAAGCGGUGGAUGAUGUGGAUUAAUUCGAUGCAACGCGAAAACCUUACCUACCCUUGACAUGCCAGGAAUCUUGGUGAGAGCCGAGAGUGCCUUCGGGAGCCUGGACACAGGUGCUGCAUGGCUGUCGUCAGCUCGUGUCGUGAGAUGUUGGGUUAAGUCCCGCAACGAGCGCAACCCUUGUCACUAGUUGCCAGCAUUUAGUUGGGCACUCUAGUGAGACUGCCGGUGACAAACCGGAGGAAGGUGGGGAUGACGUCAAGUCCUCAUGGCCCUUAUGGGUAGGGCUUCACACGUAAUACAAUGGUCGGUACAGAGGGUUGCCAACCCGCGAGGGGGAGCCAAUCCCAGAAAACCGAUCGUAGUCCGGAUUGUAGUCUGCAACUCGACUGCAUGAAGUCGGAAUCGCUAGUAAUCGUGUCUCAAAAUGGCACGGUGAAUAUGUCCCUGCUCCUU